rnacentral:rRNA from 1 species
AGUCAUAUGCUUGUCUCAAAGAUUAAGCCAUGCAGUCUAGUAUAGCAUUAUACCGUGAAACUGCGAAUGGCUCAUUAAAUCAGUUAUCGUUUAUUUGAUAGUACCUUACUACUUGGAUAACCGUGGUAAUUCUAGAGCUAAUACAUGCUGAAAACCCCAACUUCGGGAGGGGUGUAUUUAUUAGAUAAAAAACCAACGCCUUCGGGGCUUCUUGGUGAUUCAUGAUAACUUUACGGAUCGCAUGGCCUUGCGCCGGCGACGGUUCAUUCAAAUUUCUGCCCUAUCAACUUUCGAUGGUAAGGUAUUGGCUUACCAUGGUUUCAACGGGUAACGGGGAAUGGGGCGGGGGCGGCGGGCCGGGCGCGGGGCGCGGCGGGCG